AUCCACCCAGCACACCGAAAUUUAAAACCCAGAAAUUUUUUUCAAAAAAAAACAACAUGGCCCAAUGGUCAUAAAAAAUCAUAAAAAUUCAAAAAAAAGCACACAAGCUCCCAGAUUCUUGCAAACCUCUCCCCAACACCAAGUCCUUGAAUUCUAAACACCCCAACCCAAAAUCCAAAAACCCCCAAAAAAGUUUUAAAAGUUUAACUUACGAAAUGGCUGCAAAUCACCAAAGUCUUCAAAAUCCUCAAAUGGCUGCAAAAGAAGUUUUGGGAAAGCUUUAAAAAUCACCAAAGUCUUCAAAAACCUCAACUGUUCCCCCAGCCCCUCCCCAACUGUUGCAAACCCCUCCCCAACUGUUGCAAACCCCUCCUCAACUGUUCCCCCAACCACCCAGCACACAGAAAUUCAAAACCCAGAAAAUUUUUCAAAAAAAAACAUGGCCCAAUGGUUACAGAAAACCAUAAAAAUUCAAAAAAAAGCACACAAGCUCCCAGAUUCCUGCAAACCCCUCCCCAACUGUUCCCCAGCCACCCAGCACACAGAAAUUCAAAACCCAGAAAUUUUUUUCAAAAAAACAACAAAAUGGCCCAAUGGUUACAUAAAACCAUAAAAAUUCAAAAAAAAGCACACAAGCACCCAGAUACCAGCAAACCCCACCCCAGCUGUUCCCCAUCCACCCAGCACACAGAAAUUUAAAACCCAGAAAUUUUUUUCAAAAAAAACCAACAUGGCCCAAUGGUCACAAAAAAUCAUAAAAAUUCAAAAAAAAGCACACAAGCUCCCAGAUUCUUGCAAACCCCUCCCCAACACCAAGUCCUUGAAUUCUAAACACCCCAACCCAAAAUCCAAAAAACCCAAAAAAAGUUUUAAAAGUUUAACUUACCAAACAGCUGCAGAAGAAGUUUUGGAAAAGCUUCAAAAAUCCAGCAAACUCUUUAAAAAGCUCAGAAAGGCCACCACACCGCGUGCAAUGUGUUGCUCCUCGAGGUCAAGUCGCAACUGCACCUCUUCCAG
rnacentral:lncRNA from 1 species